rnacentral:rRNA from 1 species
AGAGUUUGAUCCUGGCUCAGGAUUAAUGCUGGCGGCAUGCCUAAUACAUGCAAGUCGAACGAGAUCUUCGGAUCUAGUGGCGAACGGGUGAGUAAUAUAUUUUUAAUCUACUCUAGAGAGUGGAAUAACCAUUGGAAACGAUGGCUAAUACCACAUAUGAUAUUCUUAGGCAUCUUUGAAUGUUUAAAGGCGCGUUUGCGCCACUCUAGAAUGAGGAAAUACUGUAUUAGUUAGUUGGUAAGGUAAUGGCUUACCAAGACGAUGAUACAUAGCCGAGCUAAGAGGUUGAUCGGCCACAAUGGGACUGAGACACGGCCCAUACUCCUACGGGAGGCAGCAGUAGGGAAUCUUCCACAAUGGACGAAAGUCUGAUGGAGCAAUGCCGCGUGAGGGAUGACGGAUUUCGGUCUGUAAACCUCUGUUAUAAGGGAAGAACACCCACCAUAGGAAAUGAUGGUGGAUUGACGGUACCUUAUCGGAAAGUCAUGGCUAACUAUGUGCCAGCAGCCGCGGUAAUACAUAGAUGGCGAGCAUUAUCCGGAUUUAUUGGGCGUAAAGAGUGCACAGGUGGUUCAUCAAGUUGGUUGUUAAAGACCGGGGCUUAACCCCGGUUCGCAGCCAAAACUGAUGGACUAGAUUAUUGGUGGGGAUAGUAGAAUUCCAUGUGUAGCGGUGGAAUGCAUAAAUAUAUGGAGGAAUACCAGUGGCGAAGGCGGCUGUCUGAACAAUUAAUGACACUUAAGCACGAAAGCGUGGGGAGCAAAUAGGAUUAGAUACCCUAGUAGUCCACGCCGUAAACGAUCUAUACUAGACGUUGGAAUAAUCCAGUGUCACAGCUAACGCAUUAAGUAUAGCGCCUGGGUAGUAUGCACGCAAGUGUGAAACUCAANGAUUGACGG